UCAGGAUGAACGCUAGCUACAGGCUUAACACAUGCAAGUCGAGGGGCAGCGAUGGCGGUGGCUUGCCACCGCCGAUGGCGACCGGCGCACGGGUGAGUAACGCGUAUCCAACCUGCCCUCAACCGCGGAAUAGCCCGCCGAAAGGCGGAUUAAUGCCGCAUGAGCUCGCGCGGGGGCAUCUGCCCGCGAGCAAAGGUGUUUUCCGGUUGGGGAUGGGGAUGCGUCCGAUUAGGCAGCAGGCGGGGCGACGGCCCACCUGGCCUUCGAUCGGUAGGGGUUCUGAGAGGAAGGUCCCCCACAUUGGAACUGAGACACGGUCCAAACUCCUACGGGAGGCAGCAGUGAGGAAUAUUGGUCAAUGGGCGGAAGCCUGAACCAGCCAAGUAGCGUGUGGGACGACGGCCCUACGGGUUGUAAACCACUUUUGCGCGGGGAUAACCGCCCCACUUGUGGGGCCUGCAGGUACCGCGCUAAUAAGGACCGGCUAAUUCCGUGCC
rnacentral:rRNA from 1 species